AGAACGAACGCUGGCGGCAUGCCUAAUACAUGCAAGUCGAACGAACUCUUCGGAGUUAGUGGCGCACGGGUGCGUAACGCGUGGGAAUCUGCCCCUUGGUUCGGAAUAACAGUUGGAAACGACUGCUAAUACCGGAUGAUGACGAAAGUCCAAAGAUUUAUCGCCAAGGGAUGAGCCCGCGUAGGAUUAGCUAGUUGGUGAGGUAAAGGCUCACCAAGGCAACGAUCCUUAGCUGGUCUGAGAGGAUGAUCAGCCACACUGGGACUGAGACACGGCCCAGACUCCUACGGGAGGCAGCAGUAGGGAAUAUUGGACAAUGGGCGAAAGCCUGAUCCAGCAAUGCCGCGUGAGUGAUAGAAGGCCUUAGGGUUGUAAAGCUCCUUUUACCCGAGAUGAAUAAUGAACUAGUAUCGGGAAGAAUAAGCCCCGGCUAAACUCCGUGCCAGCAGCCGAC
rnacentral:rRNA from 1 species